UACAGAGGUCUCAACCGUUGUUCGGAUUCAUUGGGCGUAAAGGGUGCGUAGGCGGUCGUGCAAGUCGGAUGUGAAAUCUCAGGGCUCAACCCUGAAACUGCAUUCGAUACUGCGCGGCUAGAGUGCUGGAGGGGAAACUGGAAUUUACGGUGUAGCAGUGAAAUGCGUAGAUAUCGUAAGGAAGACCAGUGGCGAAGGCGAGUCUCUGGACAGCAACUGACGCUGAGGCACGAAAGCCAGGGGAGCAAACGGG
rnacentral:rRNA from 1 species